AACGAACGCUGGCGGCAUGCCUAACACAUGCAAGUCGAACGAGACCUGCGGGUCUAGUGGCGCACGGGUGCGUAACGCGUGGGAACCUGCCCUUAGGUUCGGAAUAACUCCCCGGAAGGGGUGCUAAUACCGGAUAAUGUCUUCGGACCAAAGAUUUGUCGCCUUUGGAUGGGCCCGCGUUGUAUUAGCUAGUUGGUAGGGUAAAAGCCUACCAAGGCGACGAUCCAUAGCUGGUCUGAGAGGAUGAUCAGCCACACUGGGACUGAGACACGGCCCAGACUCCUACGCGAGGCAGCAGUGGGGAAUAUUGGCCAAUGGGCGAAAGCCUGAUCCAGCACUGACGCGUGAGUGAUGAAGGCCUUAGGGUUGUAAAGCUCUUUUACCCGGGAUGAUAAUGACAGUACCGGGAGAAUAAGCUCCGGCUAACUCCGUG
rnacentral:rRNA from 1 species